AGAGUUUGAUCCUGGCUCAGAACGAACGCUGGCGGCGUGCUUAACACAUGCAAGUCGAGUGCGCGUCCGUAGCAAUACGGAUGGCGCACGGCGCACGGGUGCGUAACACGUGGGUAAUCUGCCCUCUGAUGGGGAAUAACUCGCCGAAAGGCGAGCUAAUUCCGCAUAAUAUUCCGAGAACUUAGGUUUUUGGACUGAAAGGCGUAAGUCGUCGGAGGAGGAGCCGCGCACGAUUAGCUAGUUGGUAGGGUAAUGGCCUACCAAGGCUUUGAUCGUUAGCUGGUCUGAGAGGAUGGCCAGCCACACUGGAACUGAGACACGGUCCAGACUCCUACGGGAGGCAGCAGUGGGGAAUCUUGCACAAUGGGCGAAAGCCUGAUGCAGCGACGCCGCGUGGGGGAUGAAGUUUUUCGGAGUGUAAACCCCUUUCGAUCCGGACGAAUGCCUCGCAAGAGGAGUGACGGUACGGAUAUAAGAAGCCCCGGCUAACUACGUGCCAGCAGCCGCGGUAAUACGUAGGGGGCCAGCGUUGUUCGGAAUUACUGGGUGUAAAGGGUUCGUAGGCGGUGUGGCAAGUUGGGAGUGAAAUCUCUGGGCUCAACCCAGAGACGGCUUCCAAAACUGCCGUGCUUGAGUGUGAGAGAGGCUCGUGGAAUUGCAGGUGUAGCGGUGAAAUGCGUAGAUAUCUGCAGGAACACCCGUGGCGAAAGCGGCGAGCUGGAUCACUACUGACGCUGAAGAACGAAAGCUAGGGGAGCAACAGGAUUAGAUACCCNNGUAGUCC
rnacentral:rRNA from 1 species